CUACUCACAACCCAUCCACAAAUCAACAAUAAUAUUCAUCAAUUAAAGAGGUAAAGGUGAAGAGGAGUGGAAAGUAACAAGAUCAAGUCACAAAUUGCUAUGGAGCAAUUAUGACAAGCUUUGAUUUAUGGCUUUCCACUAUACCCAAUCUCAAGUCUUGAUGUAGAUAAGAUCCCUUGAAGCUCCUUGAAAUAUUGAUGAGGAUUUGAUGGAAUUUUGGAGGAAAAUGGAUCUUGGUGAGGUGGAGUGGAUCUUGGUGAGGAGAAGAAAUGGUGUGGAGGAGUGGUUUUGGGUGUGUUGGAGAAGAAGAGAGAGAGAAGGGUGAUGGUAUAUGAAAAUGGGGAGUGCGGCAGGUCUGGAUUGAGAGGAAUAAAGAAUGAGGCUUGGUGCGGCGCUGUAGGUUGAGAGGAAUAGAGUCGUGAUUAUGAAAUAUAU
rnacentral:lncRNA from 1 species